UGGGCGUCCGAAGGAACCUGAAUCGAAGGCGAGGAGGGGCCAACUUAAAUAGUGGAAACGCGGGGUACUCAGAGGUGGGGAAGGGACUUGAGGGGGCGAGCUUUUAGACAGGCCACGGUGAGAAGGUGACGGGGAGCAGAGACUUGAAGGAGUGGUGAAGAUUAUGUUUCUUCCAGAAGAAAGACAGUUUUGAGGUCAUGUGAUUAGCUGCCUUUGACAGAGCGGGGAGCCAAGAGUCCAGGGAAAGCUACUGACCUCUUGGUGCACAAUGGAACCACAGUAAAGAGAAUGUAAUAUAUCAAGGUUGUCUUCAAUUUUUGGUAUUAUCAAUAUCUAUAAACAACAUUCUUUCUCUGGGAACUCUUCCUGUCCUCCUGCUAAUGACCACCAGCAA